UCAUAUCGUGAGGUGAUAAUGUGAUAAUGUUCUGUAUUGUAUCAGAUCUGUGGAAGUCUUACAGCUGGAAGAAGGACUGGUACUCCCAUGUCAAGUCCCACAGCGUGGCAGAGCCUUACAGGUGUAAUGUCUGUGGUAAGGAGUUCUUUGAGAAGGCUCUGUUCAGGAGACACGUGAAGAAGGCCACGCACGGCAAGAAGGGCAGAGUAAAGCAGAACCUAGAGAGAGAGUGUGAACACUGUGGCAGGAAGUUCACCCAGCUCAGAGAGUACAGACGACACAUGAACAACCACCAGGGAGUCAAACCCUUCGAGUGCCUGACGUGCGGCGUAGCCUGGGCCGACGCCCGCUCUCUGAAGAGACACGUACGUACCCACACCGGCGAGCGCCCGUACGUGUGUCCCGAGUGCCAGGAGGCCCACAUCGAUGCCCGCUCCCUACGGAAGCACAUGGCCAAGUACCACGGCGACCUCCUGCCGGGGAAGAUCAUGCUGGAGAAAGAUACGCUACAAGUUCCACAACCAGGGUACUCAGGUCGAACACGCCGUCUCCAUCCUGGCGUCCGAUCUCCCCCCGAGCUCCGGCCCGUCCAGCCGCCGCCGGCCGAGGAGAUCGAGACGGUGCUGAUCACGGAGGAGACUGUGGAGGCGGUAGAAGCGGUUCAGGCCGUUCAGGGUGACGGGGUCGCGACCUUGUCGGACCAGAGUAUCAUGCAAGUGGUGAACUAUGUGCUGUCCCAGCACAGUGUGCUGCCUGGGGGGGUGAAGAUGGAGGGAGAUGAAUGGCAGGAGGUUAUACAGACCGUGGAGCAGCAGGAGGUUAUACAGACCGUGGAGCAGCAGGAGGUAAUACAGACCAUGGAGCAGCAGGAGGUAAUACAGACCAUGGAGCAGCAGGAGGGAGAUGAAGGGCAGGAGGUUAUACAGACCUUGGAGCAGCAGGAGGUAAUACAGACCGUGGAGCAGCAGGAGGUUACACAGACCGUGGAGCAGCAGGAGGUUACACAGACCUUGGAGCAGCAGGAGGUUACACAGACCGUGGAGCAGCAGGAGGUUACACAGACCGUGGAGCAGCAGGAGGUUGCACAGACCGUGGAGCAGCAGGAGGUUACACAGACCGUGGAGCAGCAGGAGUUACACAGACCGUGGAGCAGCAGGAGGUUACACAGAUCUUGGAGCAGCAGGAGGUUACACAGACCGUGGAGCAGCAGGAGGUUACACAGACCUUGGAGCAGCAGGAGGUAACACAGACCUUGGAGCAGCAGGAGGUAACACAGACCUUGGAGCAGCAGGAGGUAACACAGACCUUGGAGCAGCAGGAGGUUACACAGACCGUGGAGCAGCAGGAGGUUACACAGACCGUGGAGCAGCAGGAGGUUACACAGACUGUGGAGCAGUCUUAACACUACACAGCUAAUUAAAAUGACCAACUCAUCAUGAAGCUUUGAUCAUUUGAAUCAGAUGUGUAGUGCUAGGCCAAAAACCAAACAUGCCCCCCCCCCCCCUU